UGGGGAAUCUUGGACAAUGGGGGCAACCCUGAUCCAGCCAUGCCGCGUGAGUGAUGAAGGCCUUAGGGUCGUAAAGCUCUUUCGCCUGUGAAGAUAAUGACGGUAACCACAGAAGAAGCCCCGGCUAACUCCGUGCCAGCAGCCGCGGUAAUACGGAGGGGACAAGCGUUAUUCGGAUUUAUUGGGCGUAAAGGGCGCGUAGGCGGCUUGAUAAGUCAAAGGUGAAAUCCCUCGGCUCAACCGGGAACUGCCUUUGAAACUGUCUGGCUAGAGUUCGGGAGAGGGUAGGGGAAUUCCUAGUGUAGCGGUGAAAUGCGUAGAUAUUAGGAGGAACACCAGUGGCGAAGGCGCCUACCUGGACCGAUACUGACGCUGAGGUGCGAAAGUGUGGGGAGCAAACAGGAUUAGAUACCCUGGUAGUCCACACCGUAAACGAUGAAUGCCAGUCGUCGGGUAGCAUGCUAUUCGGUGACACACCUAACGGAUUAAGCAUUCCGCCUGGGGAGUACGGUCGC
rnacentral:rRNA from 1 species